rnacentral:rRNA from 1 species
UAGUGGCGAACGGGUGAGUAACACGUGGGCAAUCUGCCCUUCACUCUGGGACAAGCCCUGGAAACGGGGUCUAAUACCGGAUACCACUCCUGCCUGCAUGGGCGGGGGUUGAAAGCUCCGGCGGUGAAGGAUGAGCCCGCGGCCUAUCAGCUUGUUGGUGGGGUAAUGGCCCACCAAGGCGACGACGGGUAGCCGGCCUGAGAGGGCGACCGGCCACACUGGGACUGAGACACGGCCCAGACUCCUACGGGAGGCAGCAGUGGGGAAUAUUGCACAAUGGGCGAAAGCCUGAUGCAGCGACGCCGCGUGAGGGAUGACGGCCUUCGGGUUGUAAACCUCUUUCAGCAGGGAAGAAGCGAAAGUGACGGUACCUGCAGAAGAAGCGCCGGCUAACUACGUGCCAGCAGCCCGCGGUAAUACGUAGGGCGCAAGCGUUGUCCGGAAUUAUUGGGCGUAAAGAGCUCGUAGGCCGGCUUGUCACGUCGGAUGUGAAAGCCCGAGGCUUAACCUCGGGUCUGCAUUCGAUACGGGGCUAGCUAGAGUGUGGUAGGGGNAGAUCCGGAAUUCCU